UUUCUUCUAAUAACCAAACGGUCACAAAAAAGUGACAAUAGCUUCUAUAUAAAUUAGCAUUCCCGCUAUCUCUAACAUUCAUUCACUCUCUCUCCACUGUCUCUCUCUAAUUCAACACACUCUCUCUGCGAUCAAUUCUGUGAAUUUGUGUUGUUUGCGGUUACAAGAAUGUUGAUACCACUUUCAAUUGUAGAUGAUGUUGCUAUCGUUGAUUUAGGUCAACAACAUCACCGCCACAACAUGUUACCUGUGUAUGUUCUCUUUGAUUCUCGUACCAUGUCUCACAACCACCACCCAACAAGAACACCACCUGGGUCUGUGAUCGAUCAACCUCUUCUCUUUGAUUCUCGUAUCACCAACAAUGUUCCAACAAGAUUAAUGUCUCACAACCACAACAGUGUUUCAUCAAGAUUAACUUCACCAACAGUGUCUGUGGUAGAUGAAACUGUUCUCUAUGACUUUCCUAUCGGCAAUGUUCCAAGAAGAUCAAGGAUUCAUCAUCAAACGGGUCAUCCCCACCACAACCACCACCACCACCACAAUGGUACUCGAGCUUCUCCGGCGGUGAUGGGUGUUCAAAAUACUAGAGCUUCUGGUGCUCAAGAUACUUGUCAACAUGUCACAACAUCAACAACAGAUGCUCAAUCCAUUUGUUGCAUUUGUCUUGUUAACUUGUCUAAUGGUUCUUCCAUGCCAAUUCGGCUGCGCUGCUCUCAUGAUUUUCAUACCGACUGCAUUCAAAAAUGGAUCAACAUUAAGAAAACUUGUCCACUUUGUCGCGCCAAUGUUUAAUUUUCAUAUAUAGAGUGUUGUUGAUUUAUAAAAAUGUUUCCUUUCUUUUGUUAUUUUCCAUGUUUUGGUUUGAUGAUUUUCCAUGUUUAGGUUUGAUUCCCUUGGAUUACCGGACAUUCCUUCAAGCCCUCUGAGGUAAGUUUUUGUUGGGUUGCUGUUACCUAUGAUACAUCAUGUGUGUUGGAGUUUUGUUUGUUAGUAUAGGUUCUACAUAAAACAUAUAUGUGCUCUGUCUUUGUGUGCAAACCUGUUUUUUUGUCUAUCUUUUCUUUUAUUCUUUGUGUCAAUAUGUGUUACACCGUAUAUGUAUGUGUUGUUUGUGAAUAUUUAGAACUAUGCUUUUGUCCUUGCAAAUGUCCAGUUUUAUAGUUGUGAACAGAUGCUGAAUAACGGUAGAUAUUCAUGUUAAAAUAUUAGUCUAUUAGGCUUUGUUUCGUUUUGUCUCUAUCAAUUGUUAUAUGCUUGUUUGGUUGGAUGGAUUAUGGAAUUAACAACUAUUUUGUGACAAUGGAGAAGGUGUGGGAUCUUAAUAUGGAUUAUAGCUUAUGGGUCACGUAAGCAUGCUUUUAUGAUUCUUACUAGUUAUGAUUCUGUGGUAAAUAUGAGAAGCAAUGAAGAUAAGAAAAGGUUGAAGAUUACAUUGUCUGGAUUUGUACUCAAGGUGACGAGUAUGUUAGGUUGUAUGGCAUUCAGAUGGAACUCAAAGAUAUUCAGAGAUGCAACUUGUUUGAAAUAAAAAGUUAAAAGUUUGUCAUUUCCCAACUAAUGGUUUUUUGUUUUCUGGUAAUGUUGCAAUGUUCAAGAUUAUUUAGGUAACUACUCAAGAACUUACAAUAUUGUUUGUUGCUUUCACUUCCUUUUUCUUUGUCAAUAUGUGUUACACCAAGAAUUGGAUUGAAGUGAUUUUGUCUGAUUCCCGGUGUUUGUAUAUUGUGGUUGUUUAGUCCUAUGAAGUUUAGGUGCAUGUUGUUUA